rnacentral:sRNA from 1 species
UUUAUUCAAACAAAAGAAGAAACAG